GUGAGGAAUAUUGGUCAAUGGGCGAGAGCCUGAACCAGCCAAGUCGCGUGAAGGAAGAAGGAUCUAUGGUUCGUAAACUUCUUUUGCAGGGGAAUAAAGUGCAGGACGUGUCCUGUUUUGUAUGUACCCUGAGAAUAAGGAUCGGCUAACUCCGUGCCAGCAGCCGCGGUAAUACGGAGGAUCCGAGCGUUAUCCGGAUUUAUUGGGGUUAAAGGGUGCGUAGGUGGUUUGAUAAGUUAGCGGUGAAAGUUUGCAGCUUAACUGUAAAAAUGCCGUUGAAACUGUCGGACUUGAGUGUAAAUGAGGUAGGCGGAAUGCGUGGUGUAGCGGUGAAAUGCAUAGAUAUCACGCAGAACUCCGAUUGCGAAGGCAGCUUACUAAGCUACAACUGACACUGAAGCACGAAAGCGUGGGGAUCAAACAGGAUUAGAUACCCCGGUAGUCC
rnacentral:rRNA from 1 species